UACGUAGGGCGCAAGCGUUGUCCGGAAUUAUUGGGCGUAAAGGGCUCGUAGGCGGUUUGUCGCGUCGGGAGUGAAAACCCAGGGCUUAACCCUGGGCUGGCUUUCGAUACGGGCAGACUAGAGGUAUGCAGGGGAGAACGGAAUUCCUGGUGUAGCGGUGAAAUGCGCAGAUAUCAGGAGGAACACCAAUUGCGAAGGCAGCUCGCUGGGACGUAACUGACGCUGAGACGCGAAAGCGUGGGGAGCAAACAGG
rnacentral:rRNA from 1 species